rnacentral:rRNA from 1 species
AAGGGCACCACAAGAACGCGUGGAGUAUGUGGCUUAAUUUGACUCAACACGGGAAAUCUUACCGGGUCCGGACACACUGAGGAUUGACAGACAUAUUAUAAUUUACAUUUUUUUGUAUUUUAUAUAAAUAUGAAGUUCUUUCAUGAUUAUGUGAUAGGUGGUGCAUGGCCGUUUUUAGUUCGUGAAGUGAUUUGUCUGCUUAAUUGCGUUUCAAUUAUAUAGUGCAGAAUUUAAACUAUUGAAAUAUUUAAUAUUUUAAAGUUGAUUUUGUAUCUUCUUUUGAAUGCAACGAACGUGACCG